rnacentral:rRNA from 2 species
GACGAACGCUGGCGGCGUGCUUAACACAUGCAAGUCGAACGAUGAAAGAGAAUCCGAUCUCUUCGGAGUGAAGAAUCUCUGGAUUAGUGGCGGACGGGUGAGUAACGCGUGAGCAAUCUGCCUUACACAAAGGGAUAGCCUCGGGAAACCGGGAUUAAUACCAUAUGAUAUCUAUUAACCGCAUGGUUUAUAGAUUAAAGAAUUUCGGUGUAAGAUGAGCUCGCGUCCCAUUAAUUAGUUGGUGAGGGUAACGGCCCACCAAGAUAGCGAUGGGUAGCCGAUCUAAGAGGAUGACCGGCCACAUUGGAACUGAGAAACGGUCCAAACUCCUACGGGAGGCAGCAGUGGGGAAUAUUGCACAAUGGGGGAAACCCUGAUGCAGCGACGCCGCGUGAACGAAGAAGGCUUUCGAGUCGUAAAGUUCUUUUAUAUGGGAAGAUAAUGACGGUACCAUAAGAAAAAGCCCCGGCUAACUACGUGCCAGCAGCCGCGGUAA